rnacentral:rRNA from 1 species
ACGGGUGAGUAACACGUGGUCAACCUUCCCUAGUGUGGGGGAUAACUAGCCGAAAGGUUAGCUAAUACCGCAUAACAUCUACGAGCGGCAUCGCUUAUAGAUCAAAGGAGCAAUCCGCACAAGGACGGGACCGCGUCCCAUUAGUUAGUUGGUGGGGUAACGGCCUACCAAGACUCCGAUGGGUAGCUGGUUUGAGAGAGCGACCAGCCACACUGGGACUGAGAAACGGCCCAG